rnacentral:lncRNA from 1 species
AUCAAUUUAAAAAUUUUAAAAAAGCCUAACAUUGGGCCCAUGUACAUUUAAGAUUUCGGUUUCAUAAAAAAAAAAAAAAAUGUGUUAGUCAAUUCAGUUUUAUGAAACAUUUCCUCCCGUCUAUCGGUUGCCAACUUCAAGUUGCAUGGCAACAGGGUAGAGCAGUGUCCAUACCCCACCACAAACACCUCCUCGCCAUGGCAACAGGGUAGAGCAGUGUCCAUACCCCACCACAAACACACCCUCCGCGCCAGGCAACAGGGUGGUAGAUCGGAGGUGGUCCAUACCCCA